AUUGAACGCUGGCGGCAGGCCUAACACAUGCAAGUCGAGCGGAUGAAGUGAGCUUGCUCCUGGAUUCAGCGGCGGUCGGGUGAGGAAUGCCUAGGAAUCUGCCUGGUAGUGGGGGAUAACGUCCGGAAACGGGCGCUAAUACCGCAUACGUCCUGAGGGAGCAAGUGGGGGCUCUUCGGACCUCACGCUAUCAAAUAACCCUAGUUCGGAUUGGCUAGUUGGUGGUGUAAUGGCCUACCAAGGCGACGAUCCGCAACUGGUCUGAGAGGAUGAUCAGUCACACUGGAACUGAGACAGGGUCCAGACUCCGACGGGAGGCAGCAGUGGGGAAUAUUGGACAAGGGGCGAAAGCCUGAUCCAGCCAUGCCGCGGGUGUGAAGAAGGUCUUCGGAUGGUAAAGCACUUUAAGAUGGGAGGAAGGGCAGUAAGUUAAUACCUUGCUGUUUUGACGGUACCAACAGAAUAAGCACCGGCUAACUUCGUG
rnacentral:rRNA from 1 species